rnacentral:rRNA from 1 species
GGCCCAGACUCCUACGGGAGGCAGCAGUGGGGAUUAUUGGGCAAUGGGCGCAAGCCUGACCCAGCAACGCCGCGUGAAGGAAGAAGGCUUUCGGGUUGUAAACUUCUUUUCUCAGGGACGAAGCAAGUGACGGUACCUGAGGAAUAAGCCACGGCUAACUACGUGCCAGCAGCCGCGGUAAUACGUAGGUGGCAAGCGUUAUCCGGAGUUACUGGGUGUAAAGGGCGUGUAGGCGGGGACGCAAGUCAGAUGUGAAAACCACGGGCUCAACCUGUGGCCUGCAUUUGAAACUGUGUUUCUUGAGUACUGGAGAGGCAGACGGAAUUCCUAGUGUAGCGGUGAAAUGCGUAGAUAUUAGGAGGAACACCAGUGGCGAAGGCGGCGUGCUGGACAGUAACUGACGUUGAGGCUCGAAAGCGUGGGGAGCAAACAGGAUUAGAUACCCUAGUACUG